rnacentral:rRNA from 1 species
CAGCCGCCGCGGUAAUACGAAGGGUGCGAGCGUUACUCGGAAUUACUGGGCGUAAAGGGUGCGUAGGUGGUUUUUUAAGUCCGUUGUGAAAUCCCUGGGCUCAACCUGGGAAUGGCAGUGGAUACUGGAAAGCUAGAGUGCGGUAGAGGGUAGUGGAAUUCCCGGUGUAGCAGUGAAAUGCGUAGAUAUCGGAAGGAACACCUGUGGCGAAAGCGGCUCACUGGACCAUUACUGACGCUGAGGCACGAAAGCUAGGGGAGCAAACAGGAUUAGAUACCCCCGUAGUCCCUGUCUCUUAUAC